rnacentral:rRNA from 1 species
GACGAACGCUGGCGGCGUGCUUAACACAUGCAAGUCGAACGGACAGGCCCUGCUUUUGUGGGGUGCUCGAGUGGCGAACGGGUGAGUAACACGUGAGUAACCUGCCCUUGACUUUGGGAUAACUUCAGGAAACUGGGGCUAAUACCGGAUAGGAGCUCCUGCUGCAUGGUGGGGGUUGGAAAGUUUCGGCGGUUGGGGAUGGACUCGCGGCUUAUCAGCUUGUUGGUGGGGUAGUGGCUUACCAAGGCUUUGACGGGUAGCCGGCCUGAGAGGGUGACCGGCCACAUGGGGACUGAGGUACGGCCCAGACGCCUACGGGAGGCAGCAGUGGGGAAUAUUGCACAAUGGGCGGAAGCCUGAUGCAGCAACGCCGCGUGCGGGAUGACGGCCUUCGGGGUGUAAACCGCUUUCGCCUGUGACGAAGCGUGAGUGACGGUAAUGGGUAAAGAAGCACCGGCUAACUACGUG